CCAUGGAUAGCUCAGCUGGCAAGAGCAUGGGACUCUUAAUCUCAUGGUUGUGGGUUCGAGCUUGCAUUGCAAGGG